CCUCAAACUUGCAGCGACCCUCCCACCUCAGAUUCCUCAGUGCUGGGAUCACAGGCGUGUGCCACCACAUCUGGCUAGUCUUAAAUAUUUCUGAGCAGGAGUCCACUGGGCAGAGAGACGCCAGGAGGCAUCAGAAUGGAGGGGCUGGCAGGUGCUGGGGAAUGGAGCCUUCUUCCCAGGGACAAGCGUGGUACCAGGCUAGACGUGAAACCCGAGCUGCGAGAGCGAGGUGCAGGUGAUGUAUGCAGGACUGUUCUGAUAUGAUGUCUUCCAACCAUCUGGUUUCUUUCAUAGCUCACGGCACUUUUUAUUCUCCUUGCAGGUUGUUACCAAGGCAGCUAUCUAUCUGACAGCCUCUUCAAAGUCUGUACUGAGAUUGAAGCCUGAGUGCGGUGAGUAUUUCCUUCUAGUUGUGGAUGUGUUUUCGUAGCGCUGAGAAAAGGCGAGGGCAGAUUCUGUUCCCCUGCGACGGUGGAGCUGGGAUCUACGCCGUCGCAUCAUGAAAGUGGCACUGAAUGACCCUGUCCAGCCUCACUCUCCUCCUGCUAAGACGCAGCGCAGCUGCUUUCAGAGGCUUCCAGCAGGAGCUUUCCGGACACAGCGCGAGGUCCCGAGGGCAGGCGGCCGGGCAGGCCGGGUGGGCAGCAGCGGGCAGCCCACAGCGGGGCACACUGGGGUGGAAAAGCUCCUCCCUGCCAUGAUUCUUCAGGGCAUUCAGUGAAUGUUUAUAUUCUUGCCCAUACGCUUCCUCCCUAUUUUUUCUUUUUCUCGUUGCCCAUUUUUAGCAGCUGAUUUUGCUGCCCUGCAAAGCAACUAUGCUGAUACAAUCUUGCAGUUCACCCUUGAAUGCAUUCUAUUCGGGAUGCUCUAAGGUCUGUCCUCCUCCUCCUAUCACUUUUUAGGGGCAGUGACCUUUGGCAAAGGACUGUUGCUCCACCACAGUCAGGCGUCAACACUGAAGUUUUAACCCAAGGGGGGACCCUUUAAACAUGAAUGGAGGCUGGAGUCACCAACCGGCAGAACCCUGACCCUGCCAGGCACACAGUGCCUUGGCACUUCGGGCAACCUCACGGAAAACCCCACUGGCCUGGUUUUCUUUGCUGACCACCUCUGUGCGUGCUCUGCAGCAGACAGCUAUGGUUUGAAUUCGCAAAGAACUGCUGGAAUGCACAUAUCCUGGAAGGCCCAGGGACAGAGGCCCUCGGACCCGCAGGAGUCGGACCCUGUACAUGGCCUAAGGCCUCAAGAAUGAAAGCUGCAGUCAAGAAAAUGAUGCCAGUGAAUAACUGGGAGAGAGACAGGGCUCUGCUGGAUUUUAAGACCAAUCUCCCAGACCUUGGGCAGCGCUCCCCGAGGGCCAGGGAACACUGUGUUUUCACAGAACACACUCUGAUUCCUCCUUAAAACUGAGAACCAGCAAACACCACUGCACAGGGAGGCGACAGAGCAGCCCGGAGUCCACGCGUCCACACGCUCAGCGGCAGUUCCGCACCCUCCCAUCAGGCCACCGCAGCCCCGGAGCAGGCAGCAGCGUCUGUCUCACUCGGCCCCCAGCAGGACGCACUUUUUCAGGUGAGGGAAAACAAAUGCGUGGAUCUGCCCUGCAAACCUUUCCUCCCGGAACUGUCCCAUCUUGAAGCUCUUCUCUUGGGCAAGAGGAGUGGUUCUUAACAAAGGGCUAAUCGCAUCUGUAAAGACUAUGACUUCACGAGAUGCAGAGAAAUCUGUUAUGACAGCAAGACGGCAUCUUCUGUUACCCAAAUGGAGUAACAAAGAAGUGUAAGAAAUGACAAAGGUCAGUGUUAAAGCAAAGAAGCCGGGCACGGGGGUGCACACUUGGAGUGCAAGCACUAGAAGGCCGAGGCAGGAGAAUUGGCGUGAAUUUGAGGCCAGCCUGAGUUGAAGGCUAAUCUGGAUCACAUAAGAUGCUGUCUCAAAAAAAAAAUUUUAUAUAUAUAUGUAUGAAUGAGGCAGGCUUGGUGGCACA